AAAAAAACACUUUUGUUUUGUGUUGGAACAACUUGUGCCCAAUUUAAGAGCUUGUUCAGGUAAAAGCGACUCACACUACACAGAAGUUCUGGAUUUAUGACCUCAAGGUGCAUGUUGAUGUCCAAUUCAGACGGGUCGCUGUUCUUCGUGGUCUCCCUGUCUAUAUGUUUGAGGGUCACUCUUCAGAAGAUAUGAAAACCCAUCAGAGAAAUUGUCAGACUGGCUGAUGCUCUUUGCUGUGAUUUAGGCCCUGGAUAUAGGCUACCCAAACGAGUUGUCUAACAAAUUUGACUGUCCAUAAAGACUUUGUGGGUAUGC